rnacentral:lncRNA from 1 species
GCUGCAGUUCAUCAUCUCCGGGUGCCUCUCCAUCGGCGCCGAGAAGAGCCCCACGGAAUGCGCGGUGAAGGGCAGCCAGACCAUGAACGUCAUCAGUGCCAUCUUCGCGCUCCUGGGAAUCGUGGCCUUCAUCGUGGACCUCAACCUCAACGGGCUCUACCGCUCCAACUUCAACUACUACAGCUAUCUCGUCCUGCUCGCAGGGAAUGGGAUUUCCAUCGUGCUGCUCAUCUUCACCAUCCUGGAAUUCUGCAUCGCCGUGGCCACCGCCAAUUUCUGGUGCCGGGCCACCCGCCUCAGCUCCAACGAGGCAAUGCUGAUUGUCCCCAGUGCCACCCGUGUGGAUCUGGCCGUGCCACCAGCGGAGCUGCCUCAGCCUCCCAGCUACACUGAGCUGACUGCU